rnacentral:lncRNA from 1 species
UAAUAGAUAGUUAUAUCUCUCUUUUAUUCACUUGUUUAUACUUGUGAUGCUUGCUCUUGUAAUGUUCGGCACUGGUUGUGCCCUCGCUAUUGUUUUGAUCAUGUAUGUAUUCAAGUUGAUUUCCUGGGAACUUGUUGUACAUGAUCCUGUUGUUUAGCCUUGGGCGGACAGGGGAGGUGCUGUCCGUUCGGCGUCUGUUCGACGCGCCCGGAUCGUACCAAAUUGGUAGCGGUCCCGGGGCGUGACACCCUAUAAUGACAAGAUUAAUGUGGAUAGACUCUAGUUGAAUGAACACCUAGUGUUGUAUUUAAAACAUAGUUUACAAGUGGCAUUGAACUCAUUGUGCUAAAAACACAUAUGACUUGAACUAGUAAUGGAUUGGUUGUUGUACUAGAAACUUUAGUUAACAUUGAUCAAGUUGCAUAUUGGGAUAUUGCAUUAUAGGGUACUAGUUGGCAAUUGUUACAUGUCAUGGCAUACUAGUGGGAGUGUAGUGUUACUUGAUUAAUACUUGUACCUAGUAUGCAUGAGAUUGGGACUUAGUGUGGUGAAACCCUAUAAGAGCAUGAUUAAUGUGGAUUAAACUGUAGUUGAAUACAUUAAUCGAUCAAGUUGCAUAUUGUAUUUAUUGCAUAUAGGUGCUAGAUGAUUAUGGUUAUUGCUUAUAUAUGCAUGCUAGUAGCUAUACAUCUUAAUGAUUGAUCCAUGAUCUAGUAUGCAUGAUGAUUAUAUGAUGAAAACUCUAUAAUAAAGACCUAGACCCUAUAUGAGAUGUUUAAUGCUUAUGUUGCUAAAGAACUAGUAUGAUGUAACUAGUGUUGAUGAUGAGUCUAAAUGACGAGUGGCAUCUAGUUAGAAAACUAUGAUGAGUGGCAUAUGAUUGUUGAUGACCUUGAAAUGAGAACAUUAGUGUAGUUGAGACACUAUGAGAUUGGGUACAAGGACACCUUGAUUCCAUGAUGAGAUUACCCUUAGAGGGUAGGUUGUUGAUGCUCGUGAGUUGAUCAUGCUCACAUUGCCUGUCUGCGCUUGGUGGGGUCGCUCCCCUCAAGUUGUGCGCUCCGGAGUUGGUCACUAGAGAGGCAGCCCGCUUGCUGCUCGGAUAGCCGCUUGUUAUCCGCAGGCGUACUCGGGGAUAGUCCAGCUAGGCAUCCCUCAGAGGUUGACAUGUGAGCCUUGCUUGUGAGCCUUGCUUGUGAACCUUGUGUUCACUUGGAGAUUUGGUUACCUAUUGAGUCAUACUCAUUAUUGUUGUUCAUGAUAGCUUGCUUCCAUAGUUGUUGUUGUGGUUCAUAGUUGCCUUUGGCUUGCCGGCUGAUUGGGUGAUCUAAUGAAUAGCCUUAUUGAUGAACCUAGUGGUAUGGUAGUUAGCCUUCACUAAGACUUACAUUGAUAGCGGGCAUAGUCACUUGGUAGUUGGAUUGGUGGAUUUGCCUACAUACAGUGAGUGGACAUACUAUUCCUUCACCUAUGAGAUUUGAGAGGAGUAGCCUUAUUCCUAGUAGGUCGAGAUAUGAGUCGGGCAAAGUGCGGGGUAGCCUUUGCCUAGGACCUCGAGAUGUGAGUCGGGCAAAGUGCGGGGUAGCCUUUGCCUAGGACCUUCGAGAUUGGGUCGGACCUUCGAGAUCUAAGUCGGGCGAGGAGCGGGGUAGCUCUUUGCCCAGGACCCUUAAGACAUGAGUCGAAUAAGACAAGAAUGAGGUAGCUUUUCACCUACUAGAUUUGAGAUCUUAGGCAAAGUAGCCUAGCGGAUUGGGUAAUAACUGAAUAGCAUAAGAGUAUUGCAUGCAUACCAUGAUUAGACA